rnacentral:rRNA from 1 species
AUUGAACGCUGGCGGCAGGCUUAACACAUGCAAGUCGAGCGAGCGGCGGACGGGUGAGUAAUGUCUGGGAAACUGCCUGAUGGAGGGGGAUAACUACUGGAAACGGUAGCUAAUACCGCAUACCAUCAGAUGUGCCCAGAUGGGAUUGGCUAGUAGGUGGGGUAAUGGCUCACCUAGGCGACGAUCCCUAGCUGGUCUGAGAGGACGACAAGCCACACUGGAACGGAGACACGGUCAAGACUCCAAAGAGGGGCAGCAGUGGGGAAUGUUGCACAAUGGACGCAAGCCUGAUGAAGCGAUUCGUCGUGUGUGAAGAAGGCCUUCGGGUUGUAAAGCACUUUCAGCGAGGAGGCGUUACUCGCAGAAGAAGCACCGGCUAACUCCGUGCCAGCCGCCGCGGUAAUAC